CAGUGUUACCAGCCCUACCUGAAAACACCUAUUUGGAAACUGGUCUUUUCAUGUUUUUUCACAGUGGCCACAACAGAGACAAGCUUCUUGGAGAUAAUGGUUGCAGGUGAAGGUCCACCUAACUGGUGGUUGUCUGAAUCCAAUGAAAUGAUCCCCAGGUCUUGUGAAGCUGCCACCUGAACACUAUUUUUGGGGACUGAUCCAUGAGUUGUGAGACUUGCUCCUGCACAGACCAGGAACAAGAUGGAGCACAGCAAUGCUGCUGCACAUUAACCUGCCACCGAAUCCUUGAGGAGGGUUUGCAGCCUCUCUCGGGACUGCAUCUGACAAUAGAGUGACUGCAUCUGACAAAAAGAGUGACAGAAGUUCUUGAUGAGAAAGGAGGAACUUCCUGACACAUUCAAAUCUCCAUCCUAUGCCCUGCUAAUGUUUUGCUGCUGUACAUUUAAAUCAGUGUGAUAUGGCUCCUUGGAACCAAUUCUUUGAGUGUCACUUUUGUGCUGAAGAAAAUCACCUCUCC
rnacentral:lncRNA from 1 species